rnacentral:rRNA from 1 species
UACGGAGGGUGCGAGCGUUAUCCGGAUUCACUGGGCUUAAAGGGUGCGUAGGUGGGAAUGUAAGUCAGUGGUGAAAUCUCUGAGCUUAACUCAGAAACUGCCAUUGAUACUAUGUUUCUUGAAUUUUCUGGAGGUCAGCGGAAUAUGUCAUGUAGCGGUGAAAUGCUUAGAUAUGACAUAGAACACCAAUUGCGAAGGCAGCUUACUACGCAUAUAUUGACGCUGAGGCACGAAAGCGUGGGGAGCAAACAGG